CUACGGGCUGCUCCAGUGGGGAAUAUUGCACAAUGGGCGCAAGCCUGAUGCAGCCAUGCCGCGUGUAUGAAGAAGGCCUUCGGGUUGUAAAGUACUUUCAGCGGGGAGGAAGGGAGUAAAGUUAAUACCUUUGCUCAUUGACGUUACCCGCAGAAGAAGCACCGGCUAACUCCGUGCCAGCAGCCGCGGUAAUACGGAGGGUGCAAGCGUUAAUCGGAAUUACUGGGCGUAAAGCGCACGCAGGCGGGUUGUUAAGUCAGAUGUGAAAUCCCCGGGCUCAACCUGGUAACUGCAUCUGAUACUGGCAAGCUUGAGUCUCGUAGAGGGGGGUAGAAUUCCAGGUGUAGCGGUGAAAUGCGUAGAGAUCUGGAGGAAUACCGGUGGCGAAGGCGGCCCCCUGGACGAAGACUGACGCUCAGGUGCGAAAGCGUGGGGAGCAAACAGGAUUAGAUACCCUAGUAGUC
rnacentral:rRNA from 1 species